UGAGAGGGUGUCCGGCCACACUGGGACUGAGAUACGGCCCAGACUCCUACGGGAGGCAGCAGUGGGGAAUAUUGCACAAUGGGCGCAAGCCUGAUGCAGCGACGCCGCGUGGGGGAUGACGGCCUUCGGGUUGUAAACCUCUUUCAGCAGGGACGAAGCGAAAGUGACGGUACCUGCAGAAGAAGCACCGGCCAACUACGUGCCAGCAGCCGCGGUAAUACGUAGGGUGCGAGCGUUGUCCGGAAUUACUGGGCGUAAAGAGCUCGUAGGUGGUUUGUCGCGUUGUUCGUGAAAACCGGGGGCUUAACCCUCGGCGUGCGGGCGAUACGGGCAGACUGGAGUACUGCAGGGGAGACUGGAAUUCCUGGUGUAGCGGUGGAAUGCGCAGAUAUCAGGAGGAACACCGGUGGCGAAGGCGGGUCUCUGGGCAGUAACUGACGCUGAGGAGCGAAAGCGUGGGGAGCGAACAGGAUUAGAUACCCUGGUAGUCCACGCCGUAAACGGUGGGUACUAGGUGUGGGUUUCCUUCCUUGGAAUCCGUGCCGUAGCUAACGCAUUAAGUACCCCGCCUGGGGAGUACGGCCGCAAGGC
rnacentral:rRNA from 1 species